UUUCCUAUCUUCCCAUUCUCCUCUCUUCUUAUCGAAAAACGAUUGAAACUCCGUUCGUCUCCGCAGGACCGCAGCUUCUCCGAUCGAUUGUCCGUCUGUACGUGAUUUAUCUCCGCAACUUCUCUUAUCCGAUGGCUUCCACGGCUUCUCCGACCGUGCGCAGUUCUCCGACGACUCCUUUAUGUGUCAAUUUGUGUCUCCAGUUUUGAUCUAGAGCUGAUCGUUGAGUUAAAUUUGAUUCCCUUGUGAUUCCUAAUUCGGAUUGUUAUCUUGUUUUUUAUGUACUUGCGAAGACGUAAUUUCGUUGAUUUAAGUUGUUCUAUGAGUUGGGUUUAUGUGGGUGAAAAUCAGUGUGUGGACUAUUAGAUGUUCUGUGGUUUUAAGUUUAGCUGGUUCAGAUAGAACAUGCCCUAACAGCUGUUAGAUCAGGCCAAACAUCUUUGGAAUUAAAGCGUUUGUAAGUUUGAUUAUCUCUCCCAGUCAUCAACGUGCUUCUUAUUGCACAAACGUGUAAGCCUCUGAUCCAACAGCUUGGGAUAUGAUCAUCAGUUCGAACGCUAGCUAGCAGCUAAAUUUCUUUUCAUAUGGAUUGCAUGAUGUGAUUUGGUUAUCAAUAUGGGUUAUUUGUCUCAAAAAACCAGUUCAUCUUUGACACAAUAACAAUCGUUUUACUUCGUAUAUAUCAUAUUCUGUCUUUA